rnacentral:rRNA from 1 species
UACAGAGGGGGCAAGCGUUAUUCGGAAUUAUUGGGCGUAAAGAGCUCGUAGGCGGUCUGUCGCGUCUGCUGUGAAAACUCGGGGCUUAACCCUGAGCUUGCAGUGGGUACGGGCAGACUAGAGUGCGGUAGGGGAGACUGGAAUUCCUGGUGUAGCGGUGAAAUGCGCAGAUAUCAGGAAGAACACCUAUGGCGAAGGCAGCUCUCUGGGCAUUACCUGACGCUGAGGAGCGAAAGUGUGGGGAGCGAACAGG